CCUACGGGGGGCAGCAGUCGAGAAUAAUUCACAAUGGGGGCAACCCUGAUGGUGCAACGCCGCGUGGAGGAUGACGGUCUUCGGAUUGUAAACUCCUGUCAUCUGGGAGUAAGGCAUGGUUGUUAAUAGCAAACAUGAUUGAUAGUACCAGAAGAGGAAGGGACGGCUAACUUCGUGCCAGCAGCCGCGGUAAUACGAAGGUCCCAAGCGUUAUUCGGAAUCACUGGGCGUAAAGGGAGCGUAGGCGGCGUGGUAAGUCAGAUGUGAAAUCCCGGGGCUCAACCCCGGAACUGCAUCCGAUACUGCCAUGCUAGAGGAUUGGAGAGGUAGCUGGAAUUCUUGGUGUAGCAGUGAAAUGCGUAGAGAUCAAGAGGAACACUCGUGGCGAAAGCGAGCUACUGGACAAUUCCUGACGCUGAGGCUCGAAGGCUAGGGUAGCGAAAGGGAUUAGAUACCCCAGUAGUC
rnacentral:rRNA from 1 species